CCCUGCGGAGACCUUACGGACACGGGCAGAGCCAGAAGCACUCCCGGGCUGCUCCUUACGGCAUCGCGGCUCUCCGCGUCCCUCAGAGCGCCUGGCCCGCCGCACAGACCGGCUUAAUGCAGACGCGUCGUGGCAGGGAGCUGCCUUCGCCCGGGAAGAUCUGAAUAGCUGCUAGAGAAUAAGACAGGCAUCCCGAGAAGGUCUCCAGCUUCCCAAAGAGGAGGAAAACAGAGAGCAGUGACCGCUUCAGGCAACAGCAACAAACUGCAUUGGGAUCAGGCAAGAGAUGUAGACCUCACCCCCUCCCAAAGGAGUGCUUGCUGGGAGUCUCCCUAGGGACUGGCCCACUCCCAGAGAGGAGGGCGCACCAGGAGCGAUGUCUCUGCAGCACACACGUGACUGGCCGUGACAAGCCCUGUGCUAUCAGAAGUACCAGGCUAUUUUUGCUGGAGGCAUAUCCCCAUCACAGAAUAAAAGGAGCUAGAAGAGAUCCAAC